rnacentral:hammerhead_ribozyme from 1 species
ACCCAGUUGACGAGUCCCAAUUUGGACGAAACGCGAUUCCUGGAU